UAAGGAAUAUUGCUCAAUGGGAGAAAUCCUGAAGCAGCAACGCCGCGUGGAGGAUGAAGGGUCUAUGACUUGUAAACUCCUGUAAAGAAGGAAAAAAUUCCCAUUUGAUGGGAGAUGAUGGUACUUCUGGAGUAAGCCCCGGCUAACUACGUGCCAGCAGCCGCGGUAAUACGUAGGGGGCAAGCGUUGUCCGGAUUUACUGGGUGUAAAGGGUGCUCAGGCGGAUUUGUAAGUCAGAGGUGAAAUCUUACAGCUUAACUGUGAAACUGCCUUUGAUACUGCAAGCAUAAAGUAUGGAAGAGAGUGAUGGAAUAUCUGGUGUAGCAGUGAAAAGCGUAGAUAUCAGAUAGAACACCAAUGGCGAAGGCAGUCACUUGGUCCAUUACUGACGCUAAAGCACGAAAGCGUGGGUAGCAAACA
rnacentral:rRNA from 1 species